rnacentral:rRNA from 1 species
AACGAACGCUGGCGGCAUGCCUAACACAUGCAAGUCGAACGAAGCCUUCGGGCUUAGUGGCGCACGGGUGCGUAACGCGUGGGAACCUACCAUCAGGUUCGGAAUAACAGUUAGAAAUGACUGCUAAUACCGGAUAAGUGUCUUCGGACCAAAGAUUUAUCCGCCUUUUGAUGGGCCCGCGUAAGAUUAGGUAGUUGGUGGGGUAAAGGCCUACCAAGCCGACGAUCUUUAGCUGGUCUGAGAGGAUGAUCAGCCACACUGGGACUGAGACACGGCCCAGACUCCUACGGGAGGCAGCAGUGGGGAAUAUUGGACAAUGGGCGAAAGCCUGAUCCAGCAAUGCCGCGUGUGUGAAGAAGGCCUGAGGGUUGUAAAGCACUUUCAACGUGAGAAAGUAAGUCGAGA